UCUAUUAGAAUCUUUGAUGUGUCGCAGAUGCCGCACUAACUAGUCCGUGCGCCUAUGUCAUAUUUAUUGUUGCAUGAUAUAUAUGUUUAAAUGGCAAAAUUUUAUAUUGUCUAUCUAUGAAAUCAUUUUAAAUAUACGUAAAACUCCAUGUUUUAUACUAUUUUUAUUUUUCUUUCGAAAAUGUCAAUUUUUAGAAAGAAAAUAAUAUCACAAGAAAAUAAUAUCAAAAAAUUGACCGCGGACUAAAAUCCAAGCAUCUUACAAAAUAUUUUAAACACUUCCAGCACUCACAGACUUGUCACCUCUUUUUAGCCAGUCUAUUAAACAAAGAUAAAACACCUGCGUUCUGACAAUUCCUACUUUAGGCUGUGCAAGUGAUUGUGUAUCUCUCUCUAUCCCACUGAAUUUAAGAAUUACGGGGCCGUACCCAAAUAAAUUUUUGGAUCGUUUUUGUAUUAUUUUCGUUGUGUUUUUAAAGAGAUCUUUACGGAUGGAUCUAUCGCCUUUAAAAUAGUUGUUGGAUGGGUCUAUCAGCUUUAAUAGUUGGGAGGGGGGCCAUGUGAGGUUAUUAUUUGAUGUGUUUUGCCGGUUAUGGUUUUUACACGUUUAUGAAAGUAAGGAAUUUAGAAUUUGGCCUGUAUUCCUGUAAAUUUUUUGCAGUUUUUACUGUGAGGAACAGUGUUUUUUUUGUUUGUGGAUUUGUUUUGGUAUUAUACCUAAAGACCUUAAAAUGUUUCGACCCUGGAAAAAUAGGCAGGAAAAUUUGGCAAAUGAAGAGGAAAGUGUUUGUGCGGGCUUAUGGAGACCGUGGGUGUACAAGAAAGACAAUAACAUUUGUGAUAAAAACAAUAAGAGUGAUCUGGGCAGUGAUUUAGACUUACACAGUUCUGAUAGUUCAUUUUCUAGUACUGAGGAAGCAAAAAGAAGCAAGGGAAGUAGAAGCUACAGAGGAAAUCAAGCAGUUUUAAAAGAACAAAUUUAUCUAAACAUCUAUAACAAUCUAAGGAAUGAUACUCAGUUCACAAAUGAUUGUAGUGCUUUGCAAAAAAUUGCGUUUUUAAUAGGGGUUCCCUAUAGUACAAUAUGCCUGUAAAAAAAAUGAUUAAAGACAGAAUAAAAAGGAAAGAUGCAGGACAAUCAAAGGGACUUGACAUGGAUAUUGCCAAAUUGCUAAGGCAAGGUGUGUAUUCUAAAUACAAAAACAAUGAGGUUCUGACCAUAUAGACACCUUAUCGGCAAGGGACAAACAUUUCUCAGUCUCAACCUUGCGGAGAUACCUGAUAAAACUUGGAUUUAAGCUUAAGAUGGUUAACAAAAGAGCUGCUGUAAUGGAAUUGUCAGGUGGUGUAUAGAAUAUUUGAGGAAAAUUAAAAAAAUUUGGGAGGAAGAAAGAUCCAUAUAUUAUUUAGCCAAAACAUGAUAUGAUACAUUUAUGAUUGAUGUAUGAUUUCCAUUCUCUGGGAAAAAAGUCCCUUUUUUGCCAUACUUACUGCCCCUGUUGUCCUUCAGUGAUACAAUAAAGACUGCUUCUUCCACCAUUAUCUGGGAAAAACCCUGUUUUGCUAUGCUUACUACCCCUGUUGUCCUUCAGCAACACAAUGAAGACUGCUUCUUCCUCCAUUCUCUGGAAAAAAGUCCCUUUUUUGCCAUACUUACUGCCCCUGUUUGUCCUUCACCGACACAAUAAAGUAUAUAUAAUGUAAUGCUUUAGAAUCCAUAUGCUGAUGUGCGAGAUGAAGUUGGAAUCCAUGGCGGCAACAGAGAAACUGUUUCCUUCCUUAAUGGAAGAAACUGCUAAAGAACAAUGGCAAAAAAACAGAAUUUACAAAAUUUGUAUUAACUUUUUGGGCCAGAUUCAAAAGAGUGGUUAAAUUUAUAAAAGUAUUUAGUAUCCUCACUGUAGUUUUAGGAUCCAGUAUACUUAAAAUGUAGCGUUUUGUAUAAGAUUUUUAGUUUUUAGUAUAAGCAUUUAUUUUUGUUAAUUUUUAUCUAAUCUCUCCUAAUAUGCAUAAU